rnacentral:rRNA from 1 species
ACAGAUCGUUCAGAGUUUGAUCCUGGCUCAGGACGAACGCUGGCGGCGUGCCUAAUACAUGCAAGUAGAACGCUGAAGUCUGGUGCUUGCACUAGACGGAUGAGUUGCGAACGGGUGAGUAACGCGUAGGUAACCUGCCUCAUAGCGGGGAAUAACUAUUGGAAACGAUAGCUAAUACCGCAUAACAGUAUUUACCGCAUGGUAGAUACUUGAAAGGAGCAAUUGCUUCACUAUGAGAUGGACCUGCGUUGUAUUAGCUAGUUGGUGAGGUAACGGCUCACCAAGGCAUCGAUACAUAGCCGACCUGAGAGGGUGAUCGGCCACACUGGGACUGAGACACGGCCCAG